UACGUAGGGACCGAGCGUUGUCCGGAAUCAUUGGGCGUAAAGAGCGUGUAGGCGGCUAUUUAAGUCCUGCGUGAAAUCCUGCGGCUCAACCGCAGACGGUCGUGGGAAACUGGAUGGCUAGAGUGCGGGAGAGGAGAGUGGAAUUCCCGGUGUAGAGGUGAAAUUCGUAGAUAUCGGGAGGAACACCGGUGGCGAAGGCGGCGACCUGGGUCGAUACUGACGCUGAGGUGCGAAAGCGUGGGGAGCAAACAGG
rnacentral:rRNA from 1 species